UAUGUGUUGUUGGGUAGGGGAGCGUUCUGUAAGCCUGUGAAGGUGUGCUGUGAGGCAUGCUGGAGGUAUCAGAAGUGCGAAUGCUGACAUAAGUAACGAUAAAGCGGGUGAAAAGCCCGCUCGCCGGAAGACCAAGGGUUCCUGUCCAACGUUAAUCGGGGCAGGGUGAGUCGACCCCUAAGGCGAGGCCGAAAGGCGUAGUCGAUGGGAAACAGGUUAAUAUUCCUGUACUUGGUGUUACUGCGAAGGGGGGACGGAGAAGGCUAUGUUGGCCGGGCGACGGUUGUCCCGGUUUAAGCGUGUAGGUGUGAUGACCAGGCAAAUCCGGUUGUCUUUAACACUGAGGCGUGAUGACGAGGCACUACGGUGCUGAAGCAAUAAAUGCCCUGCUUCCAGGAAAAGCCUCUAAGCAUCAGGUAACACGAAAUCGUACCCCAAACCGACACAGGUGGUCAGGUAGAGAAUACCAAGGCGCUUGAGAGAACUCGGGUGAAGGAACUAGGCAAAAUGGUGCCGUAACUUCGGGAGAAGGCACGCUGACAUGUAGGUGAAGCCCCUGCGGGCGGAGCUGAAGUCAGUCGAAGAUACCAGCUGGCUGCAACUGUUUAUUAAAAACACAGCACUGUGCAAACACGAAAGUGGACGUAUACGGUGUGACGCCUGCCCGGUGCCGGAAGGUUAAUUGAUGGGGUUAUCGCAAGAGAAGCUCCUGAUCGAAGCCCCGGUAAACGGCGGCCGUAACUAUAACGGUCCUAAGGUAGCGAAAUUCCUUGUCGGGUAAGUUCCGACCUGCACGAAUGGCGUAAUGAUGGCCAGGCUGUCUCCACCCGAGACUCAGUGAAAUUGAACUCGCUGUGAAGAUGCAGUGUACCCGCGGCAAGACGGAAAGACCCCGUGAACCUUUACUACAGCUUGACACUGAACAUUGAGCCUUGAUGUGUAGGAUAGGUGGGAGGCUUUGAAGCGUGGACGCCAGUCUGCGUGGAGCCAACCUUGAAAUACCACCCUUUAAUGUUUGAUGUUCUAACCUGGCGCCAUAAUCUGGCGUGGGGACAGUGUCUGGUGGGUAGUUUGACUGGGGCGGUCUCCUCCCAAAGUGUAACGGAGGAGCACGAAGGUCAGCUAAUCCUGGUCGGACAUCAGGAGGUUAGUGCAAUGGCAUAAGCUGGCUUGACUGCGAGAGUGACGGCUCGAGCAGGUGCGAAAGCAGGUCAUAGUGAUCCGGUGGUUCUGUAUGGAAGGGCCAUCGCUCAACGGAUAAAAGGUACUCCGGGGAUAACAGGCUGAUACCGCCCAAGAGUUCAUAUCGACGGCGGUGUUUGGCACCUCGAUGUCGGCUCAUCACAUCCUGGGGCUGAAGUAGGUCCCAAGGGUAUGGCUGUUCGCCAUUUAAAGUGGUACGCGAGCUGGGUUUAGAACGUCGUGAGACAGUUCGGUCCCUAUCUGCCGUGGGCGCUGGAGAAUUGAGGGGGGCUGCUCCCAGUACGAGAGGACCGGAGUGGACGCAUCACUGGUGUUCGGGUUGUCAUGCCAAUGGCACUGCCCGGUAGCUAAAUGCGGAAGAGAUAAGUGCUGAAAGCAUCUAAGCACGAAACUUGCCCCGAGAUGAGUUCUCCCUGAGACUUUAAGUCUCCUGAAGGAACGUUGAAGACGACGACGUUGAUAGGCCGGGUGUGUAAGCGCAGCGAUGCGUUGAGCUAACCGGUACUAAUGAACCGUGAGGCUUAACCUUACAACGCCAAAGAAGU
rnacentral:rRNA from 1 species